UACAGAGGGUGCGAGCGUUGUUCGGAAUUAUUGGGCGUAAAGGGCGCGUAGGCGGUGCCACAAGUCACUUGUGAAAUCCCCGGGCUUAACUCGGGGCCUGCAGGCGAAACUGUGGUGCUGGAGUAUGGGAGAGGUGCGUGGAAUUCCCGGUGUAGCGGUGAAAUGCGUAGAUAUCAGGAGGAACACCGGCGGCGAUGGCGGCUCUCUGGACCGUUGCUGACGCUGAGACGCGAAAGCGUGGGGAGCAAACAGG
rnacentral:rRNA from 1 species